rnacentral:rRNA from 1 species
GAGGAAUUUUCCGCAAUGGACGCAAGUCUGACGGAGCAACGCCGCGUGCAGGAGGACGGUCUUCGGAUCGUAAACUGCUUUUCCCAGGGAAGAGCAAGGACGGUACCUGGGGAACAAGCCCCGGCUAACUACGUGCCAGCAGCCGCGGUAAUACGUAGGGGGCAAGCGUUGUCCGGAGUUACUGGGCGUAAAGCGCCCGCAGGCGGUCGCGUCAGUUCGAGGUGACAGCUGUCGGCUUAACCGACAGAGGACCUUGAAGACGGCGCGACUUGAGGGCCAGAGAGGGACAUGGAACUCCGGGUGGAGUGGUGAAAUGCGUAGAGAUCCGGAAGAACACCAAAGGCGAAGGCAGUGUCCUGGCUGGCACCUGACGCUCGGGGGCGAAAGCGAGGGGAGCGUAC